GCGCAAACACACACACAAUUAACAUUCAUGCUCUUUACAUCCCACAGGCCGUGGUAUAAUCCUAGAUGCCAAAAAGUAAAACAACUCAAGUCCACAGAUUUGCAAAAGCACAAUAUUGCUAUAUUCAAAAGUAUAAUGUAAAAAUGUGCAUGUGAUGUUUUACAACCAAUGAUUUCUCUGCAGGGGUUUUCUGCUGUGAUGGCCACUCUGCAGGUCGGGCACUGGCUGUUCUUCUCCAGCCAAACUUUGAUGCAGUUGUUGCAGAACACGUGGUUGUUGCAACAAAUGACCGGAUGACGCACCUUUGAUGCAAUAGAGCAAAGCAACAGGGAUUGCUUUCAUUCCGGGAGACGCAGUAGAAGCUGUCCGCCCGGCCCGGCUCGGGCACUCCUCUCUCGCCCCUGCACGGAGCUCAUCUCUGCUCCUGUGUCCCGACCCUCUGAUUUAUCUUCUCCCGGCUCAGUGGCCUGCGACCGUCCGUUGCCCCGGAGCCGAAGAGAUCUACGACCGUUUGCGCGCCGAAAGGUCCUGACCUUCCCCCCAGACGUCAGUUUCUCUCAGGAGGAGUCUACUCAGAGGGAGUCGGACCCCUUCUUUCAGUGAAUGAGUGACUAAGGUUCAUUUUAUCAACUGAGAUGAAAACUGAUGGGGGUGGACUGGCCAUCUGGCGUACCAGGCAUUUUCCCAGUGGGCCAUUAACGUAUGGGACCGGAACGGACGCGUUGGCCGCUAACGUAUGGGGCCGUAACAGAUUCGGUGGAGGGCCGAUGCGGGCCUAAAAAUGCCAGGGCCGAUUUUUCUUCCCAGUCCAGCCCUGGCCUGAAUAAUUGAGUGUCAGAGAGACCUCCAGCAUGACUUGUGUUCUCACAGUGAAUUACAAUGUGAAUCCUGCUGUAAUUAUGACUCUUUCAGAUGCCUGACGGCGGAAAAUUAAACCUGAAUAUUUCAUCAUCUGUAUGUCCUUCUCAAAUUAGAGAUCAUUUUGAAAAUGCAGCUAAUUUUCAUUACAUAUCUUCACAGAGGCAUGGAGGGAUGUGAGUAACAGUAACUGGAAAAGAAGUUGUUCUAAUGAGUUUUGUCAUCACAGUCCAACCUGAUAAAGGUUCAUGUAAACUGUUAUACAUCUCACUUUACCUGCUGCCGUAAUGUCUGUCUCGCAGCACUCUGACUGGAUUGAUUCGUGUAAUGAUGUUAAACUUGAAAGUUAUUAAAUGUAUGGCAUUCAAAUGUAUUUUAUGCAGAUGUGUUUUCUUCUACAUAAGUUGUCAGGUACAUGCAUUA